UGGGGAAUCUUGCGCAAUGGGCGAAAGCCUGACGCAGCAACGCCGCGUGGGGGACGAAGGCCUUCGGGUUGUAAACCCCUUUCAGCAGGGACGAAAAUGACGGUACCUGCAGAAGAAGCCCCGGCCAACUACGUGCCAGCAGCCGCGGUAAUACGUAGGGGGCGAGCGUUGUCCGGAUUUAUUGGGCGUAAAGAGCUCGUAGGCGGUUUGGCAAGUCGGGUGUGAAAACUCCGGGCUCAACUCGGAGACGCCACUCGAUACUGCCAUGACUCGAGUCCGGUAGGGGAGUGCGGAAUUCCUGGUGUAGCGGUGAAAUGCGCAGAUAUCAGGAGGAACACCGGUGGCGAAGGCGGCACUCUGGGCCGGAACUGACGCUGAGGAGCGAAAGCGUGGGGAGCGAACAGG
rnacentral:rRNA from 1 species